GAUGAAGAACGUAGCGAAAUGCGAUAAGUAGUGUGAAUUGCAGAAUUCAGUGAAUCAUCGAAUCUUUGAACGCACAUUGCGCCCUUUGGUAUUCCAAAGGGCAUGCCUGUUCGAGCGUCAUUUGUACCCUCAAGCUUUGCUUGGUGUUGGGCGUCUUGUCUCUAGCUUUGCUGGAGACUCGCCUUAAAGUAAUUGGCAGCCGGCCUACUGGUUUCGGAGCGCAGCACAAGUCGCACUCUCUAUCAGCAAAGGUCUAGCAUCCAUUAAGCCUUUUUUUCAACUUUUGACCUCGGAUCAGGUAAGGAUACCCGCUGAACUUAAGCAUAUCAAUAAGCGGAGGA
rnacentral:misc_RNA from 1 species